rnacentral:rRNA from 1 species
AGUGAACGCUGGCGGUAGGCCUAACACAUGCAAGUCGAACGGCAGCACAGUAAGAGCUUGCUCUUACGGGUGGCGAGUGGCGGACGGGUGAGGUAUACAUCGGAAUCUACUUUUUCGUGGGGGAUAACGUAGGGAAACUUACGCUAAUACCGCAUACGACCUACGGGUGAAAGCAGGGGAUCUUCGGACCUUGCGCGAUUGAAUGAGCCGAUGUCGGAUUAGCUAGUUGGCGGGGUAAAGGCCCACCAAGGCGACGAUCCGUAGCUGGUCUGAGAGGAUGAUCAGCCACACUGGAACUGAGACACGGUCCCGACUCCUACGGGAGGCAGCAGUGGGGAAUAUUGGACAAUGGGCGCAAGCCUGAUCCAGCCAUACCGCGUGGGUGAAGAAGGCCUUCGGGUUGUAAAGCCCUUUUGUUGGGAAAGAAAAGCAGCAGGUUAAUACCCCGCUGUUCUGACGGUACCCAAAGAAUAAGCACCGGCUAACUUCGUG